GUCCACGCCGUAAACGAUGGAUACUAGCUGUUGGGCGCAAGUUCAGUGGCUAAGCGAAAGUGAUAAGUAUCCCACCUGGGGAGUACGUUCGCAAGAAUGAAACUCAAAGGAAUUGACGGGGCCCGCACAAGCGGUGGAGCAUGUGGUUUAAUUCGAUGAUACGCGAGGAACCUUACCAAGGCUUAAAUAGUAUUUUGACCGAUUUGGUAAACAGAUCUUUCGCAAGACAAUUACAAGGUGCUGCAUGGUUGUCGU
rnacentral:rRNA from 1 species